CACACUGGGCUGGGAACAUGUGUGAC
rnacentral:piRNA from 1 species